AACGGAUCCAUAGAUUUUCUUCAUUUUUGGCAUGAAGCUAGAUAAUAUGGUCAGCUACAACAUAUGAAAAAAUGAAAAAAAUUUAUGUCGUCGUUUUCGAGAUAUUCAUCGAAAACUAAUCGAAAAUUUUGUUUUUGAUUUUUGGCCCCCUAGCGGUCACUUUUGAAACUUCGGAUGUUCUAGAGAGUUGUAGGGUUUUUUGAGAUCUUUCAUUUGACCCCGGGUUGAUCAAAAUCGGUCAAGCCGUUUUCGAGUUAUGGUCGAUUUUCGAUGAAAAAUUGUGGCGGCCAUAUUGACUAAACGGCUUGACCGAUUUUCGAAAAUGAGGUAUCGUUGGAAAGCUCUUGAUGGCCCCUACAACAUAUCAAAAUUUCAGACCUCUACCUAUAAUAGGGGCUGAGAUAUAGCGAAAACAAAAUUUUGAGGUUAUUCAAAAUGGCGGACGGGGGGGUGGGGGGUAAAAUUUGACGUCAUAAUCGGACGUCUUCCAGUCGACUUUUAAACUUUGCCGUUUACCGCAAGUCUCUAUCUAUUACCGUUCUCUUGCAAUUUAAGGUUGAACCACGGCGGACGGCCGGCCGGACAAAAAAUUUUUUUGGCGCAUACGUUUUUUUUGGAAUGUGGGGACCCUAAUUCGUGCUCAUCCCAAGUUUGAGCCCGAUCUGACGACUUUCGAUUUUGCUCGGUACACAAAAGCUGUGUCUGAAAGAAACACAGCUAAAAAAGUGGUAGAGAGUUAGUGAGAAGAAGAAGAAUAUAGGGUAAAUAACACUGAAGGAAAUAAUGUGGAUAAGAGUGAUGGAUUCAAUAAAAAAGGACAUUAAUUGAA